UACGAAGGGGGGCUAGCGUUGUUCGGAAUUACUGGGCGUAAAGCGUGCGCAGGCGGCUUCUCAAGUCAGGGGUGAAAGCCCAGAGCUCAACUCUGGAAUUGCCUUUGAGACUGAGUGGCUUGAGUACGAGAGAGGUGAGUGGAAUUCCCAGUGUAGAGGUGAAAUUCGUAGAUAUCGGGAGGAACACCAGUGGCGAAGGCGGCGACCUGGACGGACACUGACGCUGAGACGCGAAAGCGUGGGGAGCAAACAGG
rnacentral:rRNA from 1 species